CAUGAGAAUCGUAUGAUUAAAUCAUAAACUAUCUUGAAUCACAACUGAUCCUUCAUGAUCAUUUGAAACAUCAGUAUUUCUAAAUGAUUGAUAUAAAAAAAAAAUGAAACCCAUUUUGGACUCAUGGUUGAAUCUGAAACUCAUUUCUACAAUUUUUAAAAUUGCUUGAAGUGCUUUGGUUUUUUGUUUAUAUAUCUCUGUGAUUAUUGUUGUUACUUAAAUACUGAGAUACAUUCGUAUUUUCUUUUUGACUUCGUCCUAACAUUUUUUGAUUCACAAUUUGAUCUUUUACACCAGUGCAGUACGCCAUCCGUUGACACUGGUUCUUCUGCCAAAACCGAAAGUCGUUAUUUAUACGUCGAGACAUCAUCACCUGUCCCUAAUGAAGCUAAGUUUCAGUUUGAAUCACCCUAUUUAUCAGAUGGUCCAAAAUUUCUGAAGUUCUGGUACCACAUGUAUGGCAUCAAUAUGGGAACCCUUACGGUGUUACGCAACGAAACUCAGCUGUGGACCAGAACAGGGGACCAUGGCAAAAGUUGGCAAAUGGCUGAAAUUAAUAUAGGCACAUCGACGAGGCCUUACAAGGUGACGUUUGAAGCAUUAAAAGGAAAUGGAUGGAGAAGUAAUCCUGUUUACAUCGGGUUGUAAUUGGAAUAACUAAAAAAAACACUCUUUUAUCAAAACAAUUACAAUUGUUUGUAAAAAUAUCUCGAAAUAGUACUUUUUUCAAAUGACAAAAUAACUGCUUUAUUAUAUCAACUAUUCAAUGUACAACAAUUUGUGUAGUUAAGUCUAUGUACACUGUAAACAAAUGUUUCAAGACCUUUUGUUAAAAAGGGUUUUGUCGGAGAUAGCUGCAAAAUAAACACUGUUAUUGAUAAUUCCUAAAGUUAUCCUAG